GAGGAAUAUUGGUCAAUGGGCGAGAGCCUGAACCAGCCAAGUCGCGUGAAGGAUGACUGUCUUAUGGAUUGUAAACUUCUUUUAUACGGGAAUAACAAGAGUCACGUGUGACUCCCUGCAUGUACCGUAUGAGUAAGCAUCGGCUAACUCCGUGCCAGCAGCCGCGGUAAUACGGAGGAUGCGAGCGUUAUCCGGAUUUAUUGGGUUUAAAGGGUGCGUAGGCGGCCUGUUAAGUCAGCGGUGAAAUCUAGGAGCUUAACUCCUAAAUUGCCAUUGAUACUGGCGGGCUUGAGUGUAGAUGAGGUAGGCGGAAUGCGUGGUGUAGCGGUGGAAUGCAUAGAUAUCACGCAGAACUCCGAUUGCGAAGGCAGCUUACUAAGGUACAACUGACGCUGAAGCACGAAAGCGUGGGUAUCAAACAGGAUUAGAUACCCUGGUAGUCCACGCAGUAAACGAUGAUAACUGGGCGUAUGCGAUAUACAGUAUGCUCCUAAGCGAAAGCGUUAAGUUAUCCACCUGGGGAGUACGCCGGCAACGGUG
rnacentral:rRNA from 1 species